rnacentral:rRNA from 1 species
ACCGAAGCCUGUGGCCGUUUGGUCACUAGGCAAUGUGGUGUUCAGGUUGUUCCGCAGAGAGACUGCUCCACCCUAAGUCCAGCAAUGAGUACGGCAUAAUGGACGUGGCCCACAGAGGGUGAAAGGCCCGUGGGGGUGGAGAGUCGAGGGGCCAGUCUCUCUCUGGAUAGACCUUGGAGUCGGGUUGUUUGAGAAUGCAGCCCAAAGCGGGUGGUAAACUCCAUCCAAGGCUAAAUACAAGCACGAGUCCGAUAGCGAACAAGUACCGUGAGGGAAAGUUGAAAAGUACUUUGAAGAGAGAGUAAACAGUGCGUGAAACCGCUCAGAGGUAAACGGGUGGAGUUGAACUGCAAGCCCUGGGGAUUCAGCUGGUGAGCAUGGUUUGAGCUUGGUCAAAUUGGUAAAACCGCAAGGUCUGCAUAGAAGCAGGUCUCUGUCCUCGGAUGGGGAUGCGCGAUGCACUUAUCAAGUGUUGUGCGCUUUGUGGUAGCUGGCCGGCUCGCCAGUGCACUUUCCCAGGGUGGUCACCACGACCGACAUUGCUGUCUGGCUGUCGCGGUUAAACCGGCUUUGUAUCGUCCUUGUGGCUUUGCAUUGUCGGGACGGCAGGUAGCUCGUUAGUGUUCUGUGGCUUGCUGCAGACGCUCUCGGGUGUAAUCAGCUGACUGUGAUGGUUCAGUGCGGUGUGUCGGAGACGGCGGCUAGUGGUGUGUGCGUGCAUGCCCUCUUGCCGGCUGGUUCGGGUCUGAUUGUCAUGUUGCUUACCCAAAGUAAGCCUGGCAGUGGCUCGGGCUUGUUCGGUGAGGGGUUGUGUGCGUGGCACUUCCCAGGGCCAAUAGUCUGUGGUGUAGUGGUAGACUAUCCACCUGACCCGUCUUGAAACACGGACCAAGGAGAGUAACAUGUGCGCGAGUCAUUGGGCGUAACGAAACCCACAGGCGCAGUGAAAGUAAAGGCUUGGCUUGUCCAGGCUGAGGUGAGAUCCUGUCGUUUCUCACGCAUGGUAUUACCAAGCAUCGAGCGGCAGGCGCAUCACCGGCCCGUCUCAUGACGUAGACACAUAGUCUUCGGACCAGUGCACCGUCGGGGCGGAGCAUGAGCGUACAUGUUGAGACCCGAAAGAUGGUGAACUAUGCUUGCGCAGGUUGAAGCCAGAGGAAACUCUGGUGGAGGACCGCAGCGAUUCUGACGUGCAAAUCGAUCGUCAAACGUGAGUAUAGGGGCGAAAGACUAAUCGAACCAUCUAGUAGCUGGUUCCCUCCGAAGUUUCCCUCAGGAUAGCUGA